CAAGCCUUCCGAAGCCCAAAGCCCACAAUCUUGUCAAGUUUUUACGAGAAUACAAAGAUUUCUUUGCGUGGACCUACAGCGAAAUGCCUGGCCUCAAUCCACAGGAUGUAACACACUCGCUUGCCGUCAAUCCUGAUCACCAGCCACGCAAACAACCACGACGAAGGCCACCUCGAACUCCAAAUCAAGGAUGAGAUUCAUAAGCUAUUCAACGUCG
rnacentral:lncRNA from 1 species